GUGAUGGUCAGGAUGUGGGGAGCUUCUUCCAUAAAGCAGAGUCUGAUGGCUGGAAGAAUCUAGAAUUAUAUCAGAAGAAAGGAAAAAUUAGUGGGAAAUGACUUGACUUUACACUCGGUGGUUUGGAACAUUCCAGAGUCGAGAGAAGUUCUUCUUGUCACACGUGAUUUCAUAAUAAUUACGGCCAGCUGUGCCUGGGCAAUUCAGGUCAAGCCAGAUGCCAAAACCCAACUCAAACACUUACAGGAAGAUCCUCCUCAUGAAGAGCCUCCUAACAUCCUGUAGAAAAUCAGAAAAGUGUGACUUCAGGAGAAGGCAAUGGUGCCAAUGAAGUGAAGUCAACAAUGUCAACCAAAGUCAAUGAAGUCAAUGGGCGUGCUUGAGGAAAGUUUGGCCUGCUGUAUACUUUUCUACAAGAAAUCUGCCUUGUCUUCUCUGAGUACUCUUUUGGCCUGCUCCUCUGUAACCCUCCACCUGCAUCCCCUGCUUUUUGAAGGUCGCCAUCUUGAAAGAGGCUGAGCUACAUUUUGGUCCAUAUUCUCUUUAGCAGUAGCUAUGUUUAGCAGAGAAGCAAGAGACUGGAGAAUCCCUGCCUGUCAUCUUCAUAAAUAAGGUGGUGCUACACAGGAUGCUGGUGUUCUAGAUUAUAAUUCCUGGCCUCGUCCUCACCACCCCGAGAUGUCAGCCUCAAAUGGGAUAGGAAAUAUUCAACCAUAUUUCCAGCCUUCUUUGCAUCAAGUCUGGGACCUCUGUUACUGAAGAAAUACUGGACUUAUCUGUGUUUUAAGGAAGAUAAGGGGAAAGAAUUCAGAGAGAGGACUUUGAAUGCAAAGAGUUCAGAUCUUGGAGCACCUAAGUUGGAGAACAAGAAUUAAAAGCAAGGAGAGGGCUGGCCCCGUGGCUGAGUGGUUAAGUUCGCGCGCUCUGCUGCAGGCGGCCCAGUGUUUCAUUGGUUCAAAUCCUGGGCGCGGACAUAGCACUGCUCAUCAAACCACGCUGAGGCGGCGUCCCACAUACCACAACUAGAAGAACCCACAACGAAGAAUAUACAACUAUGUACCGGGGGAAUUUGGGGAGGAAAAGGAAAAAAUAAAAUCUUAAAAAAAAA
rnacentral:lncRNA from 1 species